rnacentral:tRNA from 1 species
CAAACAGUGGUGAAGUGGUAUCACAUCCAUUUUAAAAUGGAAGGUCAUUGGUUCAAAUCCAAUCUGUUUGA